GAAUCAAGCAGACCAUUGUAAGGAUGUCUCUGAAAUCUAACUCAGGAGCUGACCUCAAUGACCCAGUGGUAAAGGAACAGAUGUUGGAGCAGAUCAGAAAGGAGCUUGCUAAGGACGGGAACUUCAUCCAAGACUUGCGAUGGAGAGAACUGCCGAAUGGAGAUGUUUUUCGCAAAACAGUUGAACUUGGAAGCCCUGAUGAAGGUCAGUGUGGGUCUGGAUGAGGAGGACCAGCCAUGAUGAUGCAACAGGAGAGGGAUGGAAGGUCCAAGAAAACUAAAAUACUCAAGCUUACUGUAAAUAACCCUAGUACCUCAUAAUAUAUGACCGUAUAUCAAUAACAUUAUCUUAGUUCACGGACAGUUUUUUCUUUAGUUAUAGAUAGCUUUAUGCUUAUGAAUGAAAAAUAUGAUGUCAAGUUUUAUUAGGCUAGAUUUUAACUCUACAAUGUUUAACUAUUGUAAUGUGAAAUUAUAACAUAAGAUUUUUGUUGGUGUAUGAAUGUAGUGUAAUAAUAAUGUUUGUUGUACAUCAGGGCAAUUUGAUUAGAGAAGAGAAGAGGAAUAAAAAGGACAUUUGUGUUUGUUCAAGUUUGUACUUAAAACAUGUGUGGUGACAUGUUUCAGUGAUGGAUUUUCAGAGUGUAAAAUCCUUGAUAAUGAUGUUACACACUCACUUAUGGAUG